CCCGUGGGGUCGGGGCUCCCCCUCACCCCAUCCCCAUCCCUUUUUCCCCUCCCCGCAGGUGCCGCGGAGCCCCUCACUCACCCGUACCGGCCUCGGAGCCGCUCCCCGCCUCGGUACUGACUCAAAUACGCCGGGAACGGCAUUUAACGGGGCGGGGGGAGGCGGGGCGGGCCGAGCCACCCACCCCCAAAACACAAAAAUCCCGGCGCUGGCGGCCGGGGGCGAGCGGGAGCCGCGCAGGUGGGAGCGGCGGCGCCGGGGGCAGUGCGGGGGGGGCAACACGGUGGGGUCAGGGCACAGCCCCUGCCUCUGCACGGCACCGCAACGGCCAGCGAGAGGCUUCCUCCGCUGGGGUUUUGUUUGUUUUUUGCUUUGUUUUGGUGUUUUUUGUUAGUUUGUUUUGUAUUUUGGGUUGGGUUAUUAUUAUCUUUUUGCUCCUCUGUUGGCAGAGUGCAUGUCCCAUAAGGUCUGAAAGCCCCAGUUCCAGGACAGCGACCUCAUGUACCUGUGUCUGUCCACAGAGAAAAUCAUCCAGUUUCAGGUGCGAGGGGCUGAGGACCCCCAGAUGCUCCACAUUCAAGCUGCUCCACUUGGCUGCUCGCUGGGAGCAGGUCACGGGCAGGAGGAGGUCUGCCACCAACCGGGGUUACCUCCAAAUUCAGCUAAGAAUCACUGCAGAGCCACCUGCCUCCAGCCUUGGUGGGGACCUCAUCACCGAGGUGUUUGCAAAGCAUCUCAGUCCCCGUUUCACAGCAGAGGCACUGGGUCACCUGCUGGGACCAGGCAGAAGCCAGGCGUCCUUGGCCCCAGUCCCCUGCUGUCCCCACCGUGACGCGUUCAGAGCUGUGACCCUCUCCGCAGGCACUUCUGUGCCCAAAGGAUGCCAACCAUGAGCUGCUGAACGAUGGCUCCUGCUGGACCAGUAUUGGACCGAGAUGGUGGAGUACACCUCCAGCAAGAGCUUGUGCUUGUGAGCCUGUCAGCCCCAUGGUGCUCAUCGCUGCCCUGCAGGCGCCAGCCACCCGGUUGUGAAAUCUCGCUCACGAGCAAGUCAGCAGCACCCGCCUCUGCUGGAUGGCUCAGGGACCCCGCACGCAUGGGGACACACACGGAUCAUCCCCACAGACCCUGGUGGAGCUGCUCCAGCAUCUCCUGUGCUCCUGAGCCACGUUAUGGAUUAUCUGAAUUAUGUGUUCAGGCUUUUCCCCAUCCCCAAUGCAGCCAGAAAUGUGUGUGUAAAAGGAAGAAUGAAAAAACUUUCAGAUCACCCCAGGAGCUGGGAAAUUACAAAAAGCAUCACGUUUUUAGGGACACACAGAAUAACUUACACCAUGGGUGGCUGUGGUGUUGUGUGAGCGUCCUCGGGUGGUGGCAAGGUCCAAAGGCAAUGGGAAAUCACAGCAGUGCCCUGCUCCUGCUUCAGUACGGUGAUAGGCACUUAAUAUAUAUACAUUUCGAUAUACACAUACAUUUAUACAAAUAUAUAUGUAUAUAAACGGGUCCUGGAGGUGACAGCACCUUCAAAAACAUCAAGAAGAAAACUCUUGGCUUUCUCCCCCCGAAACAAUAUCCUACAGAAUAUCAAGAGUGGCUGCUGCCACCUAGCGAGCCGGCACACGGCGCACUGCUUGUUUUUGUUUUUGUUUUUCCAAAUAAUGCCCCGAGGGGGGAGGAAGGGAGCACAGCACAGGGCAAGCCAGGGCUGGCUGUGGCACUGAGCUCCCCAUUCCCUGCGGCCCCACAUUGCUGCAGGAUCCAGCCCUGCACCCCACAAGGACAGCCCUGCCCUGCCCCACAUCGCCCCCACUCCUCGGGGAGCAGAGGAUGGCCGUGGUGCCCCGGGAAUCUUCAUCUCCUGCUCACCCAGCUCGCACCCAGCCCACCGACACCGCUCCGUGCACCGAGGUGGCCAGAGGGCUGGCUUGCUCAGAGGGCAGUAGGUGAUUUUGCAGCCUGUAGGAAGGCUGGAAAAAAAAUGGGUUUAAAGACGAUUUUGCAUCUCUCAGAGCUGAAGGGGUGGGCAGAGAGGGGAGGCUGGCCAGCGGAGGCUGUAGGAGGGCGGCUGGCUGGUGCCAGCAGGGCUCGGUGCAGGUGGGCUUGCUGCCAGCCCUGGUUGUGAUCCAGAGAGGUGUUUGUGUUGGCAGGGGCAGCCCAGGGCAGGUCCCACUGCUGUCACAGCUCUGUCACCUCCCGCCUGGAGGACCCAGGGGGUGGCAGCGCGGCCAGCUCCCCCCCAGAGGACAGUGUGGCCACGGCGAGCAUCCCCUGGGACCCCACAUCAGGAAGGGCUGCAGCAGCCAGCGCUGGAGAUCCUGGGAAUGUGGGGUCACCAGCACCAGAGCAGCUGCCCCUGCAUCCCCUGCCACGCUGUUUGGUGUAAAUCUCACCUCAGGAGGGUGAGGACGUGGGGAUGCUGCUCUGCUCAUCAGCUGAGGGAAAGGUGCAGAGAAAACCACCUUUCUUGGAAAUUUUGUGCUCCUGACACCCAGGGCUGG
rnacentral:lncRNA from 1 species